UACAGAGGUCCCAAGCGUUGUUCGGAUUCACUGGGCGUAAAGGGUGCGUAGGCGGUCGGGUAAGUCUGAUGUGAAAUCUCACAGCUUAACUGUGAAACUGCAUUGGAUACUAUCCGGCUAGAGGAAUGGAGGGGAGACUGGAAUACUUGGUGUAGCAGUGAAAUGCGUAGAGAUCGGGAGGAACAUCUGUGGCGAAGGCGGCCAUCUGGACCAGCACUGACACUGAGGCACGAAAGCGUGGGGAGCAAACAGG
rnacentral:rRNA from 1 species